rnacentral:rRNA from 1 species
AGCUUAUCAUGCAAGUCGAGGGGCAGCAUGAAGUAGCAAUACUUUGAUGGCGACCGGCAAACGGGUGCGGAACACGUACACAACCUUCCUUUUAGUGGGGAAUAGCCCAGAGAAAUUUGGAUUAAUACCCCGUAACAUAACUGAGUGGCAUCACUUGGUUAUUAUAGCUUCGGUGCUAAAUGAUGGGUGUGCGUAUGAUUAGAUAGUUGGCGAGGUAACGGCUCACCAAGUCUACGAUCAUUAGCUGAUGUGAGAGCAUGACCAGCCACACGGGCACUGAGACACGGGCCCGACUCCUACGGGAGGCAGCAGUAAGGAAUAUUGGUCAAUGGACGCAAGUCUGAACCAGCUAUGCCGCGUGAAGGAUUAAGGUCCUCUGGAUUGUAAACUUCUUUUAUCUGGGACGAAAAAAGGUCUUUCUAGACCCCUUGACGGUACCAGAUGAAUAAGCACCGGCUAACUCCGUGCCAGCGCCGCGGUAAUA